GGGGAGUAGCCCAGUGGCAGAGGCAAGGGACUUAAAAUCCCUCCAGCGCGGGUUCGAAUCCCGCCUCCCC
rnacentral:tRNA from 1 species